GCUUCUCAUCCCUGAAGGGAAGCGCCACUGCUAUUGCCCAACAGUAGCUUCCCCUGCGUUCCCUAUUCCAUUCCUGAAACUUGUUAUCGUCCUUAUCCGGAACCACUGAUGUCACCGCUAUAGAAGUGA